rnacentral:rRNA from 1 species
GACGAACGCUGGCGGCGUGCCUAAUACAUGCAAGUCGAACGCUGAAGGAGGAGCUUGCUUCUCUGGAUGAGUUGCGAACGGGUGAGUAAAGCGUAGGGAACCUGCCUGGUAGCGGGGGAUAAAUAUUGGAAACGCUAGCUAAUACCGCAUAAGAGUAGAUGUUGCAUGACAUUCGCUUAAAAGGUGCAAUUGCACCACUACCUGAUGGACCUGCGUUGUAUUAGCUAGUUGGUGGGGUAACGGCUCACCAAGGCGACGAUACAUAGCCGGCCUGGUAGGGGUAACGGCCACACUGGGACUGAGACACGGCCCAGACUCCUACGGGAGGCAGCAGUAGGGGAACUUCGGCAAUGGACGGAAGGCUGACCGAGCAACGCCGCGGGGGUGGAGAAGGUUUUCGGAUCGGAAAGCUCUGUUGUAUGGGAAGAACGAGUGGGGGAGGGAAAAGUUCACACUGUGACGGUAUCUAACCAGAAAGGGACGGCUAACUACGUG